rnacentral:rRNA from 1 species
UACAGAGGUGGCAAGCGUUGUUCGGAAUUACUGGGCGUAAAGGGCGCGUAGGCGGUCAGCACAAGUCAGUUGUGAAAUCUCCGGGCUUAACUCGGAAAGGUCAACUGAUACUGUGCGACUAGAGUGCAGAAGGGGCAACUGGAAUUCUUGGUGUAGCGGUGAAAUGCGUAGAUAUCAAGAGGAACACCUGCGGCGAAGGCGGGUUGCUGGGCUGACACUGACGCUGAAGCGCGAAAGCCAGGGGAGCGAACGGG